GGGUGUGAGGGUUAGCUGGCUGCAACAUCUGUCACCCCACUGAUCCCUAGGGCUAAUAUGGCUCAUCUUCUGGAUGGCUGGACUGCUGCCUCCUUCCUCCCUCAACACACGAUUUAUGAUCCUUUCCAAGAUGUGCAAAAGGUCAAAGUGGAUGACCUUCCCGGAACAGGUGCUGACUGAUCUUCACUCAAGGGUAAACAAGUAGCUGUGCUCUCCUGCUAGAAACACCAAAGCAAGUUCACAAAACUCAGAAAUAUUCUUAUCUCCAAAUCUUUCUCUUUAGUGUGUUUUGUGUGAGUGUGCCAGAGCCUUCCUA
rfam:Erinaceus europaeus unplaced genomic scaffold scaffold00206, whole genome shotgun sequence